GCUCUGGCAGUGCAGUGGUUAGCAUGUGCCCCCGGAAGGGGUAAGACCCAGGUUCAACUCCCGCCCGAGGUU